UACGUAGGAGGCAAGCGUUGUCCGGAAUUACUGGGCGUAAAGCGCGUGUAGGUGGUGGGACAAGUCUGCUGUGAAAGCGCCUGGCUUAACCGGGCGAGGUCGGCGGAAACUGUCCGACUCGAGGACGGUAGAGGGGGGUGGAAUUCCCGGUGUAGUGGUGAAAUGCGUAGAGAUCGGGAGGAACACCUGUGGCGAAGGCGGCUCCCUGGGCCGGCCCUGACACUGAGACGCGAAGGCGUGGGGAGCGAACGGG
rnacentral:rRNA from 1 species